ensembl:lncRNA
CAGUUGAUUACAUUGAAGAGGUACAGGGUUUCCCUGUGGGAGGAAACUGCAUGGGCCCCGUCAGAUAUCCACAACAGGUGGACAGAUGUAAACUAGCCUGUUCUGGCCUGCUUCUCAUUUAGGGUUAUGUUCGUAUUUCCUCAACUGCUUCCCAUUACCCCCCAAAACAUAGAGGCUACAUUGAUUUCACCGUCAUGGUUCCCUCCAGAGCCAGGAAAGCCUUUCAUCCUCUGCCACUGUAAUUGAAACCACAGAAGUAGUUGCAUCUCCUGAAGGUAACCCAUCUCUCCUAAAAUCAUAAUUUAAAGACCAGGGGCCAGGCCCCAUUUCAAGUCAAUGCUGCUGGGUCCAGGCCAGGCUGAUCUCUGCUGGUUGAAUCUUUGGACUCUUAUCAUUUGUUCUGAGAAAUGCAAGGUCAGUGACCUUGGGCUGGAGUGGGGCUGCCUUUGAAUUAUUCAAUCAAUUCUGGUGGAUUUAUCCCAUGAGUUGAUUGUGGAGGUACAGCAAUGUUGGUUGGAACACAUGCUGUUCUUGUCUCUGUGACUCCUAGUGGGAUUCUGGCACCAAAUGGCAAAGGAGAAGCUUGUGAAGGACUAUGAGCUCCUAGUCCUGAUGGAGAUGGCACAGAUUCAGGUUCACAAAACCUCUUGCACUUCUUGGUAUCUGCUAGGGCUCCACAGAGAAGUGUUUGGUCCUGCUCUACCAGGAAUGGUGGUGACAAGCAUUUGCCCUCAGUCACUGUUCACAGGUCUAUGGUCACAUCUUCCAUUCCACCAUCCCCCCAUGAAUGUGCCAUCCUCUCCACUGGAUGUAGUGAGGAGAAGAAUGAUGGUUUUGCUUUGCCGGAAAGGAGAAAAGCAAGUACUCUUGGCUGGUGCUCAGUACUACAGAAGGCAAAGACCCCCAGAUGAUGCUGGGACAAUGGAACACCAGUUCUGACCAGAAGAGGAGAGUCAGAAUGAAAUGGGGUUUUCCUUUGAAAUUCUCUGCCUAGGGUGUUUUACAUUGGAAACGGAGUUAGCUGAAUCCCCUGUGUCCCGGGGCCAACAACUGGAACUAGAACUGGAAAUUUUGUGACAGAUCCCACGAUGCUGAUGCCUGAAACCUCUGUGCAAUAUUCCUGUUUCCCACAGAAGUGCAGUUCACCCCACGGAGUCAUGAGAUGAGACUUGCAGAGUGAAUUUGGACGGGGUCUGUCGGAGCGUGCAUGUCUUCUCAUCAGACCACUUGUCUUUAAAACAUUCUAGGUUCAUUUGCUGGUGUGGCAGCAAGAAUUAAAAUGGAAGAAGCGUGGGUCAUCUUUCCUCUAGCAACUCGUGAGCAGACACCACAAUCCGGCCUUGGUGUUGGCUAAUAAAUAACAAACACUGUGUCUAAUGUCCUUCUGCCUGCCUGUCACCCUCCUGGCUUUAAUUUGGUCAUUUCUUUUCUCUAUUAGCAGACAGGUCUAUGGUUCUUAACCAAGUCAACCAAGGUGGACAAAGGGGUGAGAGACUAAAACCUUUGCUGGGGUUGGUGCUAAGUUCCCAUGAUCCUUAGAUAAAUUCUUACCCUACAGUUGAAUUUGAGUGGCAGGUAAUGACUGACUGAUGGGUGGGGCUUAGCAUUAAGAGGCAGCUGCAUUUCUCUUUUGUCUCAAGUCCCAUCACACCAGAGUAGCAUUCCAAUUCCAGAAGCCCCCAGAGGCCAC